AUUUUUUCAUGUAAUGUAUCAAAAUUAUUAUUCCUUAUGAUUGAUUUAAAUUUGUUUCAAGUAUUUUGUAAUAAUAUUUAAUCAGCAAUUUAGAUAAUUUGGUUUUUGCCGGUUUUUACCAGUUUUUGCCAUUGUCCUGGCAAAAAACCCUUUUUGCCGG